AGAUUGAACGCUGGCGGCAGGCCUAACACAUGCAAGUCGAGCGGCAGCACGGGUACUUGUACCUGGUGGCGAGCGGCGGACGGGUGAGUAAUGCCUAGGAAUCUGCCUGAUAGUGGGGGGAUAACGUUCGGAAACGGACGCUAAUACCGCAUACGUCCUACGGGAGAAAGUGGGGGAUCUUCGGACCUCACGCUAUCAGAUGAGCCUAGGUCGGAUUAGCUAGUUGGUAGGUAAAGGCCUACCAAGGCUACGAUCCGUAACUGGUCUGAGAGGAUGAUCAGUCACACCGGAACUGAGACACGGUCCGGACUCCUACGGGAGCAGCAGUGGGAAUAUUGGACAAUGGGCGCAAGCCUGAUCCAGCAAUGCGCGUGUGUGAAGAAGGCGUUCGGUGUAAAGCUAACUUUAAGUUAGGAAGAAAAAACGUACGACUACUAACACAGUGAGUCUUGACGUACCGACAGAAUAACGCAACCGACAAC
rnacentral:rRNA from 1 species